rnacentral:lncRNA from 1 species
UUUGAGCAGUGAACGUGUAUAGUGGUCACACAUGUUUUAUUAAGUGGGGAAAGGCGUGUAAUUACUUUCUGCCUCAUGAACAUUGCUAGCAAAAAAUUCAACUAAAAAGGAAUUAUAAAGAACUUUAGUUUAGAAUAUCCCCAUCUAUCAUAUCAUGCAACCAUAGCCAUGCUUGGGUGACCCAACAUUUUACCUAGGCUUUGACUAGUUUUGUUUGGAUCAACCCCAUGACAAAAUGAUGCCAUUAAUUAACUUGGUUAUUUUGAAAUUAGGAGGGGGUGUUCACCGCCCCUAUGGAUGACCCAACAUUUUAACUUUAAGUUGCAG